rnacentral:rRNA from 1 species
AUGAACGCUAGCUACAGGCUUAACACAUGCAAGUCGAGGGGCAGCAUGACCUAGCAAUAGGUUGAUGGCGACCGGCGCACGGGUGAGUAACACGUAUCCAACCUACCGGUUAUUCUGGGAUAGCCUUUCGAAAGAAAGAUUAAUACCGGAUAGUAUAACGAGAAGGCAUCUUUUUGUUAUUAAAGAAUUUCGAUAAUCGAUGGGGAUGCGUUCCAUUAGUUUGUUGGCGGGGUAACGGCCCACCAAGGCAUCGAUGGAUAGGGGUUCUGAGAGGAAGGUCCCCCACAUUGGAACUGAGACACGGUCCAAACUCCUACGGGAGGCAGCAGUGAGGAAUAUUGGUCAAUGGACGAGAGUCUGAACCAGCCAAGUAGCGUGAAGGAUGACUGCCCUAUGGGUUGUAAACUUCUUUUAUAUGGGAAUAAAGUGAGCCACGUGUGGCUUUUUGUAUGUACCAUACGAAUAAGGAUCGGCUAACUCCGUGCCAGCAGCCGCGGUAAUACGUAGGUGGCGAGCGUUAUCCGGAAUUAUUGGGCGUAAAGAGGGAGCAGGCGGCACUAAGGGUCUGUGGUGAAAGAUCGAAGCUUAACUUCGGUAAGCCAUGGAAACCGUAGAGCUAGAGUGUGUGAGAGGAUCGUGGAAUUCCAUGUGUAGCGGUGAAAUGCGUAGAUAUAUGGAGGAACACCAGUGGCGAAGGCGACGAUCUGGCGCAUAACUGACGCUCAGUCCCGAAAGUGUGGGGAGCAAAUAGGAUUAGAUACCCUAGUAGUCCACGCCGUAAACGAUGAGUACUAAGUGUUGGGUGUCAAAGCUCAGUGCUGCAGUUAACGCAAUAAGUACUCCGCCUGAGUAGUACGUUCGCAAGAAUGAAACUCAAAGGAAUUGACGGGGGCCCGCACAAGCGGAGGAACAUGUGGUUUAAUUCGAUGAUACGCGAGGAACCUUACCCGGGCUUAAAUUGCAAAUGAAUAUAGUGGAAACAUUAUAGCCGCAAGGCAUUUGUGAAGGUGCUGCAUGGUUGUCGUCAGCUCGUGCCGUGAGGUGUCGGCUUAAGUGCCAUAACGAGCGCAACCCUUAUCUUUAGUUACUAACAGGUCAUGCUGAGGACUCUAGAGAGACUGCCGUCGUAAGAUGUGAGGAAGGUGGGGAUGACGUCAAAUCAGCACGGCCCUUACGUCCGGGGCUACACACGUGUUACAAUGGGGGGUACAGAAGGCAGCUACACAGCGAUGUGAUGCUAAUCCCAAAAGCCUCUCUCAGUUCGGAUUGGAGUCUGCAACCCGACUCCAUGAAGCUGGAUUCGCUAGUAAUCGCGCAUCAGCCACGGCGCGGUGAAUACGUUCCCGGGCCUUGUACACACCGCCCGUCAAGCCAUGAAAGCCGGGGGUACCUGAAGUCCGUAACCGCAAGGAGCGGCCUAGGGUAAAACUGGUAAUUGGGGCU